rnacentral:rRNA from 1 species
UACGGAGGAUCCAAGCGUUAUCCGGAUUCACUGGGUUUAAAGGGUGCGUAGGUGGAUUGCCAAGUCCGUGGUGAAAUCUCCGAGCUUAACUCGGAAACUGCCGUGGAUACUGGUAGUCUUGAAUAUCGUGGAGGUCAGCGGAAUAUGUCAUGUAGCGGUGAAAUGCUUAGAUAUGACAUGGAACACCAAUUGCGAAGGCAGCUGACUACGCGUAUAUUGACACUCAGGCACGAAAGCGUGGGGAUCAAACAGG